UGACGAGCCAUCCAACCUACUGGGGUUGAUCAUCCCGGCCUCUUUGGAAGUAGUAGCCAAUGAUGACCCAUCCAGCCUAUUGGGGUUGGUCAUCACUGGCCGUCAGACCAUCUUUUUUGCAGGACCUUUUGAAUACAAUACAAAUGCAGAACUAGGAUCCAAAGACGACUCCUUAAGCAUCAUUUCCUCUCAGAUAAUAACCUUCGAUUGCGGAGGAGACACUGAGGU
rnacentral:lncRNA from 1 species